UGGCUUGUGAUUGGGGAAAAAUGUUUGCUCCACAAGCGGGAACUUCUCAGGACCCAGCGAAUGGAAGAUCUUGAUGAGCUGAGAGAACUAGGACAGAAUAUGACAGAACAUUGGUCAACCACUGCUUCCUGGUAUGGCGAAACAUCCCACUUGAUCCCAGGCCUCAAGCACCUAUCUGCUCCAGUAGCUGCUCCCUGUCCCCGGGAUAAAGACCAGAGUCCUUGACUGGACAUUCGUCCGCUCCAGUCUCCUCCAUCAUCCACCUUACUCCGCAGCCCUGGGAGCUCAUUCUGUGCCCAGCACUGUGCUGGCCAACACACACAGCUAUAUAUACAUGGCAUGUAAACAUCCAUGUGUUGUUCAGGGGCAACGCACUGAACAUGUGAGACCAGGUCUGGAGGAAAGACAGCCUGUGGGCAGAUGGCUGAGAUAACAACAUCUUGCUGGAGGGAAGUGAGGGGCUUGUGGGACCUGGAAGAGGAAUAGACAGGGGGUGAUGACGACUUCAGGAGCAGAUGAUAUAAGAGAAGGAGGAAGGGCAUUCCAGUGUGCAGUGAGACAGCUGUGUGCUAGAGAUGCUCAGUGGACAAUGAGCUGGGAAUUCACCCAUCAGGCAAAGGGAGCUGUCGGUGAACAAAAGCAGAGAAGAGCAAGGUAGACUCUGAUCAGAAAGAAGAAAUCAGGUGCAGUGUAAGGCCUAAUGUGGAUGCCUAGUGGCUGGAAGAGGAGCUAAGUCUUGUGCCAAACUGACUUUGGGGUAAACUCAAUACUGAGAGCUCACAAGAACAGAACAGAUAACUUAGGAACUCUCCGCAUCAUGCCAGGAUUGGAAGACUCUUGGGCUGUAGCCCGCUGCUGUGGUGCAACAUGCUGUCAGGCACUGCGGCAGACACACAAGUUACUGGGUCCUCACGAUUGUCCUGGGAUGUGGGUGCUGCUGCCGUCAAUUCCGUCUCACAGACGAGCACCCGGAGGCUCGGGAAGACCAGGUCACUUGCUCACAAAGACACACUGCAGAUGGGAACACACUGCAAGUCAGAGAUGUUGUGAACUUCCUCAAAUCACAAAGCUGGGAAGCAGGAGAGCCACGUUUGAACACAGGUCAUCUGACUCCAAGUCCACAUGCUCCACCCUCCAUCACACGGCUCCAGGGAGCUUCACACAGUGUUUCAUUCACACCGCCAAGGAUCCACCUGUUUCUGGAUUCCUUACUUCUAAGUCCAGAGAAAAUCAAGACUCACAGUAGGUCUUUCUCGGAAGCGGCAGUCGAUGCUGGAGAGGAAAUCAAGGACAACAGACAAUUAAAUGGUAGAGACGGGACAGGUGAUGCAUUGCUGGGAGAUCAGCAGGUGCUCCAGGCAGUGUCAAGUGCGGGGCCAACGGCUUAGUGACUUUGCAUCACUGGAGAAGCAUAAUAAUUCCCUCAAUAUGCAGAAGCCUGCAGUGGCCAGAAAAGAUUUUGACUGGGCUUUGCCUGGGGCCUAAGUUAAUAUGCAGAAGCCUCGUUAUUCUCAGCCACCUGACUGCUAUUUUGUCACAGUCCCUUUUCUGAAAGAGCCAGGCUGACUAAGGGACAGUGUUGCUAACUUUGGUCACAUGUUGACCGACCCAUCAAAGCCAGAGGAGACCCCAGUCAUGCCUGGGAAGUCUCUGGACUUCUGAUAUCCAUGCCCACCAGCAGAAACUUCAGGUGUCCUUGGAACUUCUCCCACUUCUCACACUCCUUCCCCAUCCGCCUCCACCUCUGAAAAUACCAACUCAGGUACCAAAUCUGUGGGAAGGAGACCAAGAGGACUGAGAUCCUCAGCCAUAACAGGUGUCCUGAGGAAACGCAGAGCGGAGUCCAUGCUCCUGAAGGCUGUGGACCACCACUGUGCAACAAGGACAGAACCGAGGAGACGUGCAUGCCAGGCAGAUGCGGGGCCUUGAAUGGGCCAUAUGGAAGGACUUGAGGAAUUAGCGAUGCUUCCCGCCAGCCCGAGGGCUGCAAGAAAUUAGUCCAGGCCGAAAAGAAACUAGGUGGUGGCCGACCAGGAAUCUGGCGAGGAGAGGACAACAGGAGGCCGCAGAGGGGUCGGUGGGGGCCGCACAGCAGCCGCCAGCCACACGGCGAGUAGGCAGUGGGGAGGGGCCCGGCGGGGUUUACACACAGCCAGGCUCUCUGGUGAGUCGGGGGCUGU